UCAUGUGUAUUGUCUAUGCUUCACGUUUCUUUUUGUUCUAAACCUAAAGCUUCAUUAGCCGCCACCCCUUUUCCUUUUCAAACUCAGAAAUCAUAACCUUCAUCAUCCAAUUCCCAUUAGAUCCAAGUAACACUUCUAAUCCGGAAGUUCUUCGACGAUUCACAUUGACUCGACGUUCUCUUUGAUCCCUACGUUUCGGAAUCACAUACGACCCGUCGACUGUUCGUACUUCAGAGGCGAACCAGAGUUAGAUUGCUUGUCAGGAUCACGUGGAUUUAGCAAGCAGUUUAUGAUUUGAGCUUUGGUAGAUCUCCGUUUCUUCAUUCUCGGAGGUUCUUUAUUUAUUUCAGAAAUAAAGUGUCGAACUAUUUUAAACUCUUAGACCGCAGUAGUAGUUUCAUAUUAUUCAUGUCUUAGUCUUACAUUUAUAUUUUAGACUAUUGUUGUUGGAUUGGUCCAACUAUUACUUAUCGCUUGUGGCAUGAUUCAGUGUUAUGGAGUUUUUAUUAUAUUGCCAUGUUGGAGUUUAUUUGAGAUAAAGCGUACUUUAAAUAUAUGCUGCUUAUCUGUACUGCUAGAUUAGGCUGAAGUCUCGGUUGCCCCCGAGCAUGUGGUUUUCUGCAGGUACUUUGUUUUAAAUGUAAUUAAGUUGUUAUCCGCAAGGCUUGCUACGGGUUUUGGUACAACCAUACCCAUACCCUAGCGCCGGUCACGAUUCUUGAAAAUGGGUCGUGACAAACUUGGUAUCAGAGCUUUGGUUUCAAACCAAGGCCUUUUUAAAUGUUAAUUGUUUAAUUAUUUUGGCAUGCUAAGUGGUUAAUUUACCCUAGGAACUACUGCGGAAUUAGGAUUCGAGUCUUGUCUUUGAAACGUCAUCUUUUGUUUUCAAAACUUUCUGCCUACUCCAAUAGGAAUGUCGUGAGUCAGUCGUGUGAAUUUAUUUGC